UUUGUAGUUGGGAAAGUUCGGUGAGAUUCCGACACUGUGCCGCAACUGUAAUACAAUAUCAGAGCAAAAAAUGGGUGAUUUCAUCGGGUAAAUAGUCUUAUUUAUCCGGGAAUUUAACCCUUAACUAUCUGCUAUUUUCUGAGUCAGAAUGCCAACUACAAA
rnacentral:ncRNA from 1 species